CUUGGGUAGCAAACAGGAUUAGAUACCCUAGUAGUCCAAGCAGACAAUGAUGAAUGUCAUGCAUUAGAUAUAAAUAUUUAAUGCAUAAACGAAAGUGUAAGCAUUCCACCUCAAGAGUACUAUGGCAACAUAUAAACUGAAAUCAUUAGACCGUUUCUAAAACCAGUAGUGAAGUAUGUUAUUUAAUUCGAUAAUCCGCGAAAAACCUUACCACAGCUUGUAUAUCAUAUUUAAAUAGUGAAACAAGCGCUGCAUGGCUGUCUUUAGUUAAUGUCGUGAGAUUUGGUUAAUUCC
rnacentral:rRNA from 1 species